rnacentral:rRNA from 1 species
GGCGAAAGCCUGAUCCAGCCAUGCCGCGUGUGUGAAGAAGGCCCUCGGGUUGUAAAGCACUUUCASCGAGGAAGAACGCCUAGUGGUUAAUACCCAUUAGGAAAGACAUCACUCGCAGAAGAAGCACCGGCUAACUCCGUGCCAGCAGCCGCGGUAAUACGGAGGGUGCAAGCGUUAAUCGGAAUUACUGGGCGUAAAGCGCGCGUAGGUGGCWUGAUAAGYCGGUUGUGAAAKCCCCGGGCUCAACCUGGGAACGGCAUCCGGAACUGUCAAGCUAGAGUGCAGGAGAGGAAGGUAGAAUUCCCGGUGUAGCGGUGAAAUGCGUAGAGAUCGGGAGGAAUACCAGUGGCGAAGGCGGCCUUCUGGAMUGACACUGACACUGAGGUGYGAAAGCGUGGGUAGCAAACAGGAUUAGAUACCCUGGUAGUCCACGCCGUAAACGAUGUASACCAGYCGUUGGKUGCCUAGCSCACUUUGUGGMGMAGUUAACGCGAUAA